UUCCAGACUCCUACGGGAGGCAGCAGUGAGGAAUAUUGGUCAAUGGGCGAGAGCCUGAACCAGCCAAGUCGCGUGAGGGAGUACUGCCCUAUGGGUUGUAAACCUCUUCUGUCGGGGAGCAAAAGCCGGACGUGUCCGGCUGUGAGAGUACCCGAAGAAAAAGCAUCGGCUAACUCCGUGCCAGCAGCCGCGGUAAUACGGAGGAUGCGAGCGUUAUCCGGAUUUAUUGGGUUUAAAGGGUGCGUAGGCGGUUUUUUAAGUUAGUGGUUAAACGUCGGGGCUUCACCUUGAUUUGCCAUUAAUACUGUAAGACUCGAGUUCAGACGAGGUAGGCGGAAUAAGUUAAGUAGCGGUGAAAUGCUUAGAUAUAACUUAGAACUCCGAUAGCGAAGGCAGCUUACCAGACUGCGACUGACGCUGAAGCACGAGAGCGUGGGUAGCGAACAGGAUUAGAUACCCGUGUA
rnacentral:rRNA from 1 species